ACGGCGAGUGAAGCGGCAACAGCUCAAAUUUGAAACCUGCCAACCGGCCGGAUUGUAAUUUGUAGAGGAUGCUUUGGAGUAGGCACUGAUCUAAGUUUCUUGGAACAGUACGUCACAGAGGGUGAGAAUCCCGUUCGUGGUCGGCUGCCUGCUUCGUGUAAAGCUCCUUCGACGAGUCGAGUUGUUUGGGAAUGCAGCUCAAAAUGGGUGGUAAAUUUCAUCUAAAGCUAAAUAUUGGCCAGAGACCGAUAGCGCACAAGUAGAGUGAUCGAAAGAUGAAAAGCACUUUGGAAAGAGAGUUAAACAGCACGUGAAAUUGUUGAAAGGGAAGCGCUUGCAAUCAGACUUGCGCGUAGGUAAUCAAGGGCGGUUCGCUGCCCUGCACUUGCCUGCGCUCAGGCCAGCAUCAGUUUUGGGGGUGGGAUAAAGGCCGUGGGAAUGUGGCUCUUCGGAGUGUUAUAGCCCUCGGUGCCAUGCCGCCUCCCGAGACUGAGGACCGCGCUUCGGCUAGGAUGCUGGCGUAAUGAUUGUAAGCGACCCGUCUUGAAACACGGACCAAGGAGUCUAACAUCUAUGCGAGUGUUUGGGUGUCAAACCCACACGCGGAAUGAAAGUGAACGGAGGUGAGAGCCCUUGAGGGUGCAUCAUCGACCGAUCCUGAUGUCUUCGGAUGGAUUUGAGUAUGAGCAUAGCUGUUGGGACCCGAAAGAUGGUGAACUAUGCCUGAAUAGGGUGAAGCCAGAGGAAACUCUGGUGGAGGCUCGCAGCGGUUCUGACGUGCAAAUCGAUCGUCAAAUUUGGGCAUAGGGGCGAAAGACUAAUCGAACCA
rnacentral:rRNA from 1 species